UAGGGAAUCUUCGGCAAUGGACGAAAGUCUGGCCGAGCAACGCCGCGUGGGUGAAGAAGGUUUUCGGAUCGUAAAACUCUGUUGUUAGAGAAGAACAAGGACGUUAGUAACUGAACGUCCCCUGACGGUAUCUAACCAGAAAGCCACGGCUAACUACGUGCCAGCAGCCGCGGUAAUACGUAGGUGGCAAGCGUUGUCCGGAUUUAUUGGGCGUAAAGCGAGCGCAGGCGGUUUCUUAAGUCUGAUGUGAAAGCCCCCGGCUCAACCGGGGAGGGUCAUUGGAAACUGGGAGACUUGAGUGCAGAAGAGGAGAGUGGAAUUCCAUGUGUAGCGGUGAAAUGCGUAGAUAUAUGGAGGAACACCAGUGGCGAAGGCGGCUCUCUGGUCUGUAACUGACGCUGAGGAUCGAAAGCGUGGGGAGCAAACAGG
rnacentral:rRNA from 1 species